rnacentral:rRNA from 1 species
GACGAACGCUGGCGGCGUGCCUAAUACAUGCAAGUCGAGCGAAGUGGAGAGAGCUUGCUCUCGAAGCUUAGCGGCGAACGGGUGAGUAACACGUGGGCAACCUGCCCGAUAGACCGGGAUAACUUGGGGAAACUCAAGCUAAUAACCGGAUAGGAUCAUUGACCGCCUGGUUGAUGAUGGAAAAGUCUGAACGACACUAUCGGAUGGGCCCGCGGCGCAUUAGCUAGUUGGUGGGUAACGGCCUACCAAGGCGACGAUGCGUAGCCGACCUGAGAGGGUGACCGGCCACACUGGGACUGAGACACGGCCCAGACUCCUACGGGAGGCAGCAGUAGGGAAUCUUCCACAAUGGGCGAAAGCCUGAUGGAGCAACGCCGCGUGAGUGAUGAAGGUUUUCGGAUCGUAAAACUCUGUUGUUAGGGAAGAACACCCGGGAGAGGAUCCCGGAAUGACGGUACCUGAGGAGAAAGCCCCGGCUAACUACGUG